rnacentral:rRNA from 1 species
CAGUAGCCGCGGGAAUACGUAGGGUGCGAGCGUUAAUCGGAAUUACUGGGCGUAAAGCGUGCGCAGGCGGUUUUGUAAGACAGGCGUGAAAUCCUCGGGCUUAACCUGGGAAUGGCGCUUGUGACUGCAAGGCUAGAGUGCGUCAGAGGGGGGUAGAAUUCCACGUGUAGCAGUGAAAUGCGUAGAGAUGUGGAGGAAUACCGAUGGCGAAGGCAGCCCUCUGGGCCUGCACUGACGCUCAUGCACGAAAGCGUGGGGAGCAAACAGGAUUAGAGACCCGUGUAGUCCCUGUCUCUUAUAC